UGAAAAACAGAGAUCAUCGGGCCAGACUCAGCAUCUCGAAAAAACUUUUCAGGAGUUACCAGAAGCGGGACGCGAACCUGGGUCCUUCCGCGUGUCACGCCAACUUUGUAUUCGGGGAUUUUAUUAUUCCAUAAUUCGGGGGAAUUAUGGUAAUCGUCAAUAAAAGACACAGUUUUUUCGUUUGUCCACUCCAUGUUGCCCGCUCCAAGCCGCACCGAUCCGUUGACUGUCGGAUAGACAGCGACACAGUUCGACACGUUGAAUCAUGUCGAGAGAUGACGCAAUCAAUAGGCAACAACGGUCAACUUGUAGCAUGCGGCAAGGAGACAUUUUUUUGUCGCUUUGUGUUCCUUCUAUGGAAAGACUGUGUGUAGUAUGCGUCAAUGCCGCAUGCUACAUGUUGCUUAAAAGUUGCCUCAGUGGAAUUGCGGCUUGAAAACCAGCUGCUAUAAAAUAAUAAAAAUGUCAUCCUCCU
rnacentral:lncRNA from 1 species